CCAAUAGCGUAUAUUAAAGUUGUUGCAGUUAAAAAGCUCGUAGUUGAAUUUCGAGACCGGUUUACUGGUCGUGCUUUUGUACGUACUGGUAUUAUUGGUUUCUCCUUUCUGACGAAUCAUAAUGCCAUUAAUUUGGUGUUUUGGGGAAUCAGGACUGUUACUUUGAAAAAAUUAGAGUGUUUAAAGCAGGCUCACGCUUGAAUACAUUAGCAUGGAAUAACGAAAUAGGACGUUUGAUUUUAUUUUGUUGGUUUCUAAGAUCGACGUAAUGAUUAAUAGAGAUAGUUGGGGGCAUUAGUAUUCAAUUGUCAGAGGUGAAAUUCUUGGAUUUAUUGAAGACUAACUACUGCGAAAGCAUUUGCCAAGGAUGUUUUCAUUAAUCAAGAACGAAAGUUAGGGGAUCGAAGACGAUCAGAUACCGUCGUAGUCUUAACCAUAAACUAUGCCGACUAGGGAUCGGAUGAUGUUAAUUUUUUAAUGACUCAUUCGGCGCCUUACG
rnacentral:rRNA from 1 species